GGGAGGGAGGGGACCGGCGCAGCCACAUCGUCAGGCCGCCGGGCCCAGCCCGCAGCCGCCCGAGCGCGGUGGAGGAGACAGAGGGGAGGGUGCAGACCCUUGGCGCCUUACCGGAGCGCUGCACCGCCGCGUCCGCAGGGCCUCUUCCGUCCUUCACUCCCAUCCACCGGCGGGGGAAGGGGGAGGGAGAGGGAAGGGAGGAAGGAGGGAGGGAGGGAAGGAGGGAGGGGAGGAUGGCGCGCUGGGCCCGGUCCUCGGGAGGGGGAGGGGAGGGAAGCGGGCGGGCUCUUCAGCCGUUCCGGGGCUCGAGCCCAAGCCCAGCGCUCGCGGUUUCUGUUGCUCGCGCCCGAGCGCUUCCUUCCUGCCCUUUCUCGUUCUCUAGACCCUCGGGCCGCUGUUCAAUCGCUCCCUCACUCGCUAUCUCGGCCGUCGGACUCCGCCGCCGCCCCGCCGCUCCAGCUCCGUCUGUCACAGGAGCUGCCCCAGCGCCCUGACGUCACCGCGCCGCCGCCGCCCCAGACCCGCCAGGAAGAGGGAGGGGAGCGGAGGAGGGGCUGCGGCGCAUGCGCGGGCGCGGCUGGGCCCCUGAGUCGCCGUCUUCGUCCUGGCGAGCGGGCGAUCGCGGCCAGUGCUACUUGGCGGUACGGAGUGGCCGGUGGGCGAGCGUGCGCACGAGGCCCUGCUUUUCACGUCCCUCGUGCCGCUAUAACCUUGGAAGAGCCCCUUUUUUCCUCGACUCUGUUGUGUCCCCUCACGAACUCUGGUCCCACUCACCUAACCGCCCCGCUUUUGCCCCACUGCAUGCUGCGCUCUCUCCGCUUCCCCGGCGGACAGCGGGGACCAGUCGGCGCCCCUGCAUCCCGGCCCCGGAUUGUGGGUGAUCAUCUCCUGGAAGCAAGAAGUCAUGGAGGAGAACUCUUCUGCAGGAUAGGAGGAGAAAAAGGUUCUUGAGUGCUGGGAUUAACAGGCAUGUGCCACCGUGUCCAGCCUAUGAUGAACAUUUCUGAACAUAAUUUUUUGUUACAUUGUGCUGCUUACUUCCUUAAGAUAGAACCCCAAAAUUAGGGUUACUAGGCCAAAAGAUAAGGUCUUUUAAUUUGUUUAUUUGUUUGUACUGGGAAUUGAACCCAGGGCCUUCACACUGUGCUACAUCUCUGGUUUGUUUGUUUGUUUAUUUAUUUAUUUAUUUACAUAUAAAUUUUGAAACUAGAUCUCACUAAGUUGAUAGACAGCUCAAGAUGAGCUCAAAUUUGCAAUCCUCCUGCCUCAACCUCUCAGAGGGCUGGGUUUAUAGUCAUGCUCAACCAUACCCAGCCCUUUCUUCUUUUUAAAUCGACUACCUCGGGUUUUUUGGGUUUGUUUUGUUUUGGUUUUUUAUUUUUUUGAGACAGGGUCUCACUAUGUAGCCCAGGCUGGCCUCCAACUCAUGACGAUCCUCCUGCCUCAGCCUCCCAGGUGCUAGGAUUACAGGCAUGUACCACCAUACCCAGCUUAUCUCAGGUAUUUUGUCACAGUGAUGGAAAGCUGACUAACACAACUGUGAUGAAAUGGCACACCUGGAUUUGAGCAACAAUGAUACAGUAGAAGGAGGAUUUAUACUAUCUGGAUUUGAACAUCAAUGUAAUCUGAAUUUUGUUAUAAGGUGAAUGUAUUCUUACACUCUCUGGGCCAGUUGAAGCCAGAGCUGCAGGCAGUUCUAGCCCAUGAGAACUGCCAAUAUCAUAAAAUGGGCCACACAGGGAAACACUGCAGAGGUGCAGUGGCACAUGCUGAAGCAGAGGGAUUACAAAUUUAAGACCAGCCUAGUCAACUGAGACUCUCAAAAUACAUAAAAAGGGCUGACAAUGUAGCUCAGUGGUAGAGUGCUUACCUAGCAUGCACAAGACCUUCAGUUCAAUCCCCCUACUGGGGGGAGAAAAGUUAAAAAAAAAAACCAAACAAAUAAUCUCAUGGAUUGUACACUCUAGAUCUAGUUAUUCUGAAACUAUUUCCAUACUUUGUUCUUUAUAAGAUUUAGAAAUAUGAGCUACUAAAACAAAAAAGAAAAAGAAAAAGUAUGAGCUACUAAAUUUAACCCCACUCCCCUCCACUAGUUUUUUAGGUUUGUUUGUUUAUUUGUUUGGGGUUUUUUGAGACUAUGUCUUGCCCUGUAGUCCUGGAUGGCCUUGAACUUUCGACAGUCCUCCUGCCUCAGCCUCCAGAGUGCUGGGAUUACAGGCUUGCAUUUGGCUAGUUUUUCUUAAAGUAGUUUGAAUUUGACUUGCAAUAGAAAGAAUCUUGGCCUAUAUUUAGGCAUGGAAGUAGGAAAAGAUAUCAGAUAUUAGAAUAAAUUUAUAUAAAAUAGUAUUUUAGCUGGUCAUAGUGGUGCACAUCUUUAGUCCCUCCUACUGGAGAGCCAGAGGCAAGAUCACUUGAGAUCAAGAGUUUGAGAUCAGCCUAGGCAACAUAGUAAAACCUUAUUUCAGGAAAACAAACAGUCCCACAAGGUGGCAUACACCUGUAAUACCAGCACUCAAGAGGCUAAUGCAAGAGGGUCACUGCAAGUUUGAGCCCAGCGUGUGCUACAUAGUGAGUUUAAGGCCAGCCUGGACUACAUAACAAGACCCUGUCUCUAAAAACCAAAGGGGAUGGGGGAAAGAAAAACAAACAAAACAAAAUAAAGAAAUAAAAUAGCAUUAAAAAUAUGAACCACUGGCCAUGGUGGCAUAUGCCUGUAAUCCUAGCACUUGGGAGGUUGAGGCAGGAUUGUCAUGAGUUCAAGGUCAGCCUGGGUUACAUAAUGAGUUCACAGCCAGCCUGAACUAUAGAGUGAGACUCUAUCUCAAAAAUAAAUGAAUAAACCAAUACCAUGUAGAAGUAUAGUUUGAAAUUACUAAAUAUACUGUCAAAAAGCAAGCUAUAGAAUGGAAAGAAAUUUUUAUAUGCAAGUGAUAUGUAGGAUAUAUAAAAAAGUACAACAGCAAAUAAUUUAAUAACUUGAUUUGAAAAUGACCAAAAGAUUUCAGCCUUCCAAAAAUGAUACACAAAUGGCCAAGAAGUAUAUGAGAUAGGAAACAGGGACAUAGCUCUUUUACAAAUGGGAAGGGGACCGAGAGAUGAAGGAAAGGGUGUGGGGGGAAGGGGACAUAAAAAGAAUGAAGAAUUAAAAUGUGUUACAUACAUGUACCAACUUCCCAUGAUGAAUGUAAUCAUUAUGUACUGCAAACGUACUAAUAAAAAUUAAAAAUUUUAUAAAGAAGCAUAUGAAUAGAUAGAUAUCACUAAUCAGAAGAGAAAUGCAAAUUAAAACCAGAUGCUACUUCACACCCAUUAUGAUGGCUACUGUGGAAGGAAAAAGGAAAGAGGAAGGAAGGGAGAGGGGCAGGGAAGAAGAAAAGAGAUCUGUCUUGUGUUCCCUAUCAUGAAUGUAUCACCUUGUAUUUAACCAUUCCCUACUGAUAAAUUUUAAAUUGUUUUAGUUUUUUUUCUAUUAAAAAAUCUCAAUAAAUAUUAUCAUUCAAUGAA
ensembl:lncRNA